rnacentral:rRNA from 1 species
AUUGAACGCUGGCGGCAGGCCUAACACAUGCAAGUCGAGCGGUAGCAGUCCUUCGGGAGCUGACGAGCGGCGGACGGGUGAGGAAUGCUUGGGAAUCUGCCCGAUAGAGGGGGAUAACUACGGGAAACUGUAGCUAAUACCGCAUGAUCUCUUAGGAGCAAAGCGGGGGACCUUCGGGCCUCGCGCUAUCGGAUGAGCCCAAGUGGGAUUAGCUAGUUGGUAGGGUAAAGGCCUACCAAGGCGACGAUCUCUAACUGGUCUGAGAGGAUGAUCAGUCACACUGGGACUGAGACACGGUCCAGACUCCUACGGGAGGCAGCAGUGGGGAAUAUUGGACAAUGGGGGCAACCCUGAUCCAGCCAUGCCGCGUGGGUGAAGAAGGCCUUCGGGUUGUAAAGCCCUUUUGGCGGGGAGGAAGGGUGUGAGGUGAAUAAUCUCGCACUUUGACGUUACCCGCAGAAUAAGCACCGGCAAACUCCGUGCCAGCCGC